AUUGAACGCUGGCGGCAGGCCUAACACAUGCAAGUCGAGCGGAUGAAGGGAGCUUGCUCCUGGAUUCAGCGGCGGACGGGUGAGUAAUGCCUAGGAAUCUGCCUGGCAGUGGGGGAUAACGUCCGGAAACGGGCGCUAAUACCGCAUACGUCCUGAGGGAGAAAGUGGGGGAUCUUCGGACCUCACGCUAUCAGAUGAGCCUAGGUCGGAUUAGUUAGUUGGUGGGGUAAAGGCCUACCAAGGCGACGAUCCGUAACUGGUCUGAGAGGAUGAUCAGUCACACUGGAGCUUAGACACGGACCAGACUCCUACGAGAGGCAGCAGUGGGGAAUGUUAGACAGUGGGCGAAAGCCUGGUCCAGCCAGGCCGAGUGUGUUGAGGAGGUCUUCGGAGUGUAAAGCACUUUAAGUUGGGAGGAAGGGCAGUAGGUUGUGACCUAGCUGUUUUGACGGUACCGACAGAAUAAGCACCGGCUAACUACGUG
rnacentral:rRNA from 1 species